rnacentral:rRNA from 1 species
CGGGGUGAGUAACGCGUGGUAACCUGCCUCAUACAGGGGGAUAACAGUUAGAAAUGACUGCUAAUACCGCAUAAGCGCACAGUGCUGCAUGGCACAGUGUGAAAAACUCCGGUGGUAUGAGAUGGACCCGCGUCUGAUUAGCUAGUUGGUGGGGUAACGGCCUACCGAGGCGACGAUCAGUAGCCGGCCUGAGAGGGUGAACGGCCACAUUGGGACUGAGACACGGCCCAAACUCCUACGGGAGGCAGCAUG